AAAAAAGAAAAUAUGUACAUUCAGCUCUGAAUUAGAUUGGACACUAGAGGGCAGUGUAACCACUGUUAUAAAUACUGCUAAUCUGGACGUCACAAAAUAUUUUUACAGUAUGCUCAGUAUCAUUGCUAAGUUAUUGUAUUCAUUCAGUUAAUGUUUCAGUGUGAAAAACCUGUGAGAUUUUAAACAAAUACAUGGCUAAAACAUUGAGUUAAAACUCUAACAAGCCUGUGUGUACUAAUCUCAGGUAUAUACAGUAAUUGUAAUAGAAUAUUCAUUUUUUCUGUGUUAAUAUGAAUAAUUUUCAGAUUUAAAUUGUCACAAUACUUUUGGUGCUUUGAAAUAGGGGGACUGUGUAUAAAAAAUGGUUGUCAUUUCUAAAAGGUGAUAUGUAUACAAAUAACCAUGAUUUCAGUCACAAUAUGGAUGACACUGUACAUUCAGUCAUUCAGCAGACACUCCAGAACGAGUAUGUAUCCAGAACGUAUCCUGUAGAUGUAGUUAUACUUCUACAUCAUAUUUCCCCUGUUGUGGUUUAGGUGUAGUUAUACUUCUACAUCAUAUUUCUCCAGC
ensembl:lncRNA